rnacentral:sRNA from 1 species
CUUCAAAAGCUAUCUAUUAUAAGCCAUAUUUCAUACACUUGACUUGCUUUAAUCAACUAUUUGGCAUUAAAGGAUUGGCGUCGAAUACUCGGUAUUUAUUUGGGAAUUAUUGAAGCCAAAGACCACAGGCUUUUUCGAAGAUGUUGAUCUAAAUUCGAUGUGUUUAUCAAGGCGUUUACAGUCGCUCCCGGCAACAAUGGCUGUUGAAUCCCUCGGAAAUUCACUCCCGCCUUGGACACUUGAUGGACCAGUUCGGUUGAAAAACCCAGAAACAAAAAAAAUGGAAAGAAACAUCAGACGAGCUGUGAACAUGUCUGUCGGCAUAAAAAAAGGAAACACAAGCCCAAAAAUGGCGUAUUUUUGCGCUAUCAUACUCGACUUACAGACCGGAGGGAGUGGUGCGUGGGUGCGGCACUCCACGGGCCAUCUAUGUGGUGUUGUCAGUGCGACUGUCAGUGUCAUUGCAACUCCAGUGUAUCACUGUUGCUGCAACCAACUGUGGCCGACACACAAGCUCAUAUAUAGCCGCUUCCUGCUGCAUAUCUCUUCAUGCUACGUUUAUUUAGUUUUGGGCGAAACUUUUUCUGCUUGAUUGUUUUUUUUUUGGUUGCUUACUGUUGUGCAAUUUUCAGCGGGGAAAGCAUUAAGCCACGUUACUUUCCUUCUUUUUUGUUGCAUGGCUUCAAACCCGCCAACAACAUUAGCAAGUCAAACAAUUUUUGUUUGCCUAGCAAGCAGGCAGCUGGUAGGGAUACAAAAAACGACACCAAAAAAGCUGGAAAAUAAUUUGAAGCAAAUUUUAAUUAAUGCCGGCAGCACUGCCGGCGGAUACAGACAGUCAAAAAAGAGAUACCAACCGAGGGGGCAUCGUGGGGGAGUUAACCGCAUAGCAACAUUUGGCCAGGACCGGGACGAGUACGAGAACGAGGACAUCGUCAGCAGCCCGCCAGACCGCAACACCUUUUAACAAUUUCCGCCCCCUGCCAUACCAAUUUCCACAAACCACCACCU